rnacentral:lncRNA from 1 species
CCUGAGUACUAAGGUAACUCUUCCUUUGUCUUCCCACAGGACAGGGCCAUGCUUCUGUUCAUCUACUGGGACACUAAGGAAUCUGCAAGGAAUCUAUUCAUCAGCUUGGAUACUAAGGAGAGAUCCGUAUAUCUUUUCACCUGUUGGGAUACUAAGAUAAGUCUGUUUGCCUUCCUACACAAUGGGGACAUGCAUCUAUUCAUCUGCUCAGACACUAAGGUAGGGAUGCUGAUGUCUUCCUACAGGAUAGGGCCAUGUAUCUCUUCAUCUUACUGGAUACCAAGAAUGGGGCCAUGCAUCUGUUCAUCUUCUCAUAUACUAAGUAAGGCUGCUUGUGUCUUCAUAUGGGACAGGGCCAUGCAUCUUUUUAUGUGCUGGAAUACUAAGGUAAGUCUACUGAUGUUUUCUUACAUGACAGAAUCAUGCAUCUGUUCAUCUGCCUGAAUACUAGGGUAAGGCUCCUGUUGUCUUCCUGUAGGAUAAAGCCAUGCAUGUCUUCAUGGGCCUAGGUACUACCUUAAUUGUUCUUCUGUCUUCCCACAGGACAGGGCCAUGCAUCUGUUCAUCUUCUUAUAUACUAAGGACAGAUCCACACACUUCAUCUGCUUGGACACCAUGAAAGUCUCCUUCUGUCUACCUACAGGACACAGCCAUGAAUCUAUUCAUCAGCUCAGAUACCAAGGUAGGCAAAGCACCACUGAGCUACCUUCCCACCUGCUGAUGUCUUCCUGCAAGACAGGGUCAUGCAUUUGGUCAUCUUCUCAGAUACUAAGGUAAGGCUGCUCCUGUCAUCAUACAAGACAGGGCCGUGCAUCUGUUCAUGUGCUGGGAUACUAAGGUAAGUCUACUGAUGUUUUCCUACAUGACAGAAUCAUGCAUCUGUUCAUCUGCCUGAAUACUAGGGUAAGGCUCCUGAUGUCUUCCUGUAGGAUAAAGCCAUGCAUGUCUUCAUGGGCCUAGGUACUACCUUAAUUGUUCUUCUGUCUUCCCACAGGACAGGGCCAUGGAUCUGUUCUUCUCCUUAUAUACUCAGGUAAGUCUGCUUCUGUCUUCCUAGAGGACAGAGCCAUGCAUUUGUUCAUCUACACAGACACUAAGGCAAGUCUUUGGAUGUCCUCCUGCAGGACAGAUCCAUGCAUCUGUUAAUGUGCACAGAUACUAAAGUAAGUCUGUUAAAAUCCUUGUGUUGGACCCAGCUUCUUUUGAACUUUCUUGGUGGCCAUGGAGUGAGUGUUUUGUCCCCUGAAGAGUUCAAACUUACUUGGCAUCCUAACGGUAGGGCUCGGGGAAGUGGUUAUGUCCUGCCGAGCGAGUACUUGCAAUGGCAUUAGUGGGAAUUCAUAACUUUGGCCUUUUUGCUUUCUGCCAUUUAGAGAUACAGGUCCUCUUUUCUGUGGAUGGAUCAUCAAGUUGCCCUCAUGCAGUGGAAACACAGCCUUCAAAAGACAAAUGAUUCUCCCAUCCCUUUGAGUUCCUAUGUCUCAGCCUCCGGAACCUAGCCUAGAAUUGUACAAGACACCACCAGAAACCUCAGAAAUCAACGAGCAAAACACUGAAACAGAUUGCUUCUCCUCGCUGACUACAAGGUGGCUGCUACCCAUCCUGGGACCCUUCAUUGUCAUCAUCUGUAUGCAGCGCCUUGAUCAAUUUUUUUCCAAGGCUGGAUUCAUCCAGCCACUAACUUCCUCACCUCCCAAAAGCUGAUGAACAGAUAUCCCUACCGGUGUGAGACCCCAACCCCACCUACCAACUCAGCUCCUCCCCCUGACAAUGGCCCCAGUCAGCAUGAAGCUGCUACUUGAGACAGCUCAUGACCUCAUCCCUUAUAACAAGGAGCCGUGAAUGUAAGGCCUAAACCCACCAGGCCUAAGCACAGCAUCCUUCAUCCUUCAGCAGCCUUCUUGGCCCUAGCAGCAGCUCGGAAGGAGGCCUCAGCACUUAGUCCCUCUUCCCAUGUCCUCAGUGAAAGCCUGCUCUCUUUCAUUCCGUGUCGUGGCACUGGUGUAUAGUCACUGGAGACAGUAAACUUCCACUUUAAA